AUUGAACGCUGGCGGCAGGCUUAACACAUGCAAGUCGAACGAGUGGCGGACGGGUGAGUAAUGUCUGGGAACCUGCCCGAUGGCGGGGGAUAACUACUGGAAACGGUAGCUAAUACCGCAUACCAUCGGAUCUGCCCAGAUGGGAUUAGCUAGUAGGUGGGGUAAAGGCUCACCUAGGCGACGAUCCCUAGCUGGUCUGAGAGGAUGACCAGCCACACUGGAACUGAGACACGGCCCAGACUCCUACGGGAGGCAGCAGUGGGGAAUAUGGCACAAUGGGGGCAAGCCUGAUGCAGCCAUGCCGCGUGUAUGAAGAAGGCCUUCGGGUUGUAAAGUACUUUCAGCGAGGAGGCGGUACUCGCAGAAGAAGCACCGGCUAACUACGUGCCAGCCGCCGCGGUAAUUC
rnacentral:rRNA from 1 species